CGUGUAGGCGGCCUCUUAGGUCUGAUGUGAAAGCCCGGGGCUUACCCCCGGAAGGGCAUUGGAAACUGGGAGGCUAGAGUACCGGAGAGGAAGGUGGAAUUCCUGGUGUAGCGGUGAAAUGCGUAGAUAUCAGGAGGAACACCGGUGGCGAAGGCGGCCUUCUGGACGGAUACUGACGCUGAGACGCGAAAGCGUGGGGAGCAAACAGGAUUAGAUACCCUGGUAGUCCACGCCGUAAACGAUGGGCACUAGGUGUUCGGGGUAUUGACCCCCUGAGUGCCGCAGCUAACGCAUUAAGUGCCCCGCCUGGGGACUACGGCCGCAAGGUUAAA
rnacentral:rRNA from 1 species